UGCAAGACAACUUUGGGUGAUAAUGCACUGGCUCCGACUUCAUGAACAUCCUUAUAAACUCCCCAUUGCGAUUAGGGAUUGGUCUGAGUUCCAGUCGUGCAAGAACAAAGUCCCAAGGUGGCGGAGGAACUAUUUACGCUUCGCUUUUCUGGGGUUUGGGAGGAAUGUUUUCCCGACACCCAUAACAUUUGUAGACCCUGGAGUUAAGUCUUUUAGGAUUUCGAGGGAUUCUCCGUCAUUCCGUCUUUUAGGAUAUCGGGUGACUUUCCGCCGUUCCGCCGUUCCAUUGUUCCAGCUUUUAGGGUCGCCCGUGGUUUCUCGCUAUUGAGAGUCAUCAAUCAUAUUAGAACUGUUUAAAUUAUACGAACUUUGAAGCGCACGCCCUUCUUUCGAGUUCCCUAGACAACGGAACAAAUAACUUAUCGCGCCAUCGACAAUGUAAGUUCAAAUUUGCAUUCAGAAUCUUCGUUCGAACAGCUUAUUCACCUCGACUGCUUUACUGUGGUUACUUCUUUGUUGGUGUUUGGUGGCGAGGAGACUUCGCUUGGUGCGACAACAGGAGACAAAGUGAAAAGUACCACAUUCAGUGCUUGAUCCAAUCGUAUCAAUUGUAAGCCUUACUUUACGACUCGUACGAGACGUACCACUUGAACGACUUGGAUCAUAGCCUUCACGACUUGUACAAGUGAACCCACGGAGCAGGGACAAAAUGUUGCAGACCUUACUAGACUACCUUAUGUAUGUUGGAGUCUUAAGGAUUAUCAUCUUCGUAGGUACGAUCGUCGCCGUCUUCGAAUACUUGUUCCGGCGAGUGCAACAUUUCAACCCAGGUACCCUGAUAGGAAUGGGUUUGGGUGGAGCCAUUGGCUUGAUCGGUUUUGUCUGGUCACAUUGGUAUUGGAUCUGUGCUAUUGCUGCAUGUUUGUUGGCAGGUUUUAUUGGCAUCGGGCUUUACAGGCGCGGAGAGGAACGGCGCAACAGAGCCAAUGAGGAACGUAUACUCGAGAUACUCCAGAGAGCAUUAGAGCAAUAGAAUAACAGUGCAAUCAGAACCUACAGAUGAAAAUCAUUAAUAGCAACAUUUAUGGCGAUCAGGGGAGAUGAAUCUGAGUCGCCUUAAGUAAUUUAGGUAUCACAUACUUUGUGGUUGAUUUCUUCUUUUAUCCAACUAAUCACUCCACUGGAUUUGCAUUGACUAUUAAACUACUCACUGUAGUACUGAAGUUUGAUAUGUUA